GUCCCUAAAGGUAUACUCACCCUUGUGGAGCCCCCUGUUCCCCUUGGGCAUGGGAGGGAAAUUCAGGGGUAUCAGGUGCAUUUCCUCAUUUUCUGGUUAUUCUAAGACCUCUGGGCCCUAACUGCCCCUGGAGCACUGUUCCAAACCUGGAGGCGGCUAAAUGAAUGAUCAUUUAAUAGAAUUAAAAAAAAAAAAACCCAUCAGGGUAUAUUAACUCACUUUAUAGUCCUUGUGGUGGGAGAGGGAGAGACUAUGGUGAUUUCCUAAAUGCCAGCUAGUUAAGUCCCUCUACCUCCUCCCUGGAGUUAAGAAAGCCUCCCUGCAUCCAUGUAUUUCUCCUCUAUCAUAGUUUGCUACAUUUUUUGCUGCUGCUCAUGCCUGGCGGCACCACACUUGACCCUAGGAAUGCCAAGUGGAAGAGCCUGACGAUGAGACUGGGACUAGGUCGCCAAUUUGAACUGAACUUGGUUUUUCCUCCUCCAACCAGAAUGGCAUGACUCAGGUAUAAAAUCUCCUCUCCUCUCAGAGACUCUGGCGGUCUGGAAAGUAUAAAAAGAAAAAACAAAAUCAGUAAAUUCAAGAGAGAAAUGAAAAGAGCAAGAAAACUGUAGGAAGAGAGGGAAAGAAAAAGGAAAAUACUUGUACACAAAAUUGGAAGGGUGUUUGGAACCCCGCCUCAAUUUCUAACAACUGAAGCUAAGGCUUGUUGGUCUCCACUGGGUUGCUCCACUGGUCUCUCCAACCCAAUUCCCUUGUUCAGGAUCUGCGGGGUUCUUUGCCUGGGAAAGGCACAUUCACAUGGUCUGGUCUAUGGCAGGGCUUUACCUACUGGCGGUGGGUAGGGAAAGGUAGUGGUGGCAGCAGACAGGGAGGUGAGAAAAGCCCUGGGAGGUGUGGCCACGUCAGGUGGAGGCCCCUCCCCCACCCAUACGGAGGGGCCCAGCAUCCACCACCCCAGGGGAGCCUCUGGGCUCUAGGCCAUGCUGGGUGACUUAAGCCAGAGUGAUCUUAUUACAGCCAUUAGUGACCAGAAUGAUUUCUUAUGCCAAGAGCAAAAAGAAAUGGAUCCAAAUGAGAAAACCGGGACAGCUUGGGUUCUGCGAGAUGGCUGCGAGCUGGGGAUUGCACCGAUGAUAAAGCCCAUAGCUGCUUCUUUGGCAUCCACUCCAUGUCAGGCAAAGUCGAGCACACAGCGGUAGGUUUAAGGUAAGUCUCGCCUUUGCUGAUGAUGACCAACCCUGCCCCCAGAAUCCAUCAGGAGUUUGGGCGCAUCCACGGCUCCCGGAGAAGAUCCCGCUUGACCUCCCUGUCAGAGGCAAGUGCUUAGUGCAUUUCUGAGGCCAGCUGCACUUCAGGGAAGCCCACAUUCUACGGACCCAAAGGAUGGUCCCUCAAACAGGCUAGAACCUGUGCAAAUAUCCAGACCCGUGAUGCCCGUGGAGCACGGCCUCCUACUCACCUGCCUGUGGGCCAGUCCGCACAUGCAUGACUAGGCAUUCUGGGAGUGGGAGGAUGUGAGGACUAGCUGGCCACAGGGACUGAGAGGUAACACCUGCUUGAUCCUUUGCUAGGAUCUGGGACUCUCUCAAUGCACAAUGCUUUCCAGGGAGUCUUGAAGAGCUAGCUGGGCUCCCUUUGCAUUUUUUUUUUCCACUAAAGAAAGUAAACAUCUUGCAUGUGUUUCCAUAGUGGUUAGGCACUGCCUAUGGGAGACUGCCUUGCAGAAACUUGGCUGUUGUGGCCUGAGGACACUGGGACUGAGUAAGGCACUUGGGACUUUACGUAGGGGAAAAAAAAGUUUAGUUUGCACCAUCUGGGUAGGGUCUGGAACAAACAGUUUGGGUGUCAGAAAUGGGGGACACCUGGAUUCCCCAUCGCAAAAAGGGGAGCCUCUAUGUCACCUUGCAGGUGAAAACUGAGGAGGCAACGGAUCAGCGAGACCUGGACUGCUCCUGUCCAACCUGAGCAGCUGCCCUCUGUCAGGACCCCUUCGAGGGCGUGCAUUCAGCCAGCACCCCCAUUCAACGCGGACCCAGAAAAAUCUCUCAAACUCGCAGACUUGGAGAGAGAGGAAGGUAGCCAGGCAACAGAAUUGCGGAAAACAUCCUCUAGGUCACAUGAACUUUAUUGUAGAUCAGGAAGUUAUCUAACAGCUGCCAAAACUCUUUCUGACUCCAAAUGUUGACUGUUUCUCACACCUCACCAUUGGGUAUGGAGUCUGCUGCCUUGGGGGUUAUUCAGACUUCCCAUUCCUUCUCAGACUCCAUCUACCCCCACCUGCCUGGUUGCAUUUGGAGAUGAUUUCCUUUUUUCCAUUCAUGAGACCAUGUGGCUUCCAUACUUACCUGGGCUGGCAGUUUCUCUACUCACCCUGCAAAUCUCUUGAGGAGGAAAAGCCCGGUUGAGGAAGGGUCAGAAAAAGGAAGCCAAGCCCGGAAGUGCAAGCAUACAUUAUCAUAUUCUUCUCAGGGUGCCUUUAGUUCAUUCCAGAAAAAAAGUGCAGCACAAUAAGUAAUUUUAAUGGGCGACCUCCCUUUCUUCCACUAAUUCCCAGUCCUGAGCAAGGUUCACGAGCAAGAACCUAGUCUUCUGUGGGCUUGAAUGCCCCAAAGGGUCUGGUGGCGAUAUUGAACACACAGUGGGAGCUGAGACAAUAGAUCCUGGUUGACAAAACGGACGCUUCAAAGGAAAAGGGGCAAUUAUUUGAGAGCAAAUGUAAGCAAAGGCGUGCGCGCGCACACACACGUGCGUGUAUUCCGUGCCUUUUCAAUUAAUUCCAGGCUCAUGUAUGAGACUACCUCGAGGAUCUGCUCCCAUUUCUCAGCCCAGCACCCCAACACAAGCUGAUUCCUCCUGGAUAACAAGCACCUUGGCGUCGAGGGAGCCCGCUCCAGCUGACAUUUGCAGACAUUUGUUACUUCUGCCUCGUAGUGCUCCUUUCUUCACCCUCGACGGUCCAGAGCUGAGCUCACAAGACCGAGGCAGGCCCAGUCCAGAUGACCAGGAGCAGAGACCUUCCUGGGCCAAAGCACAGAAAGGUCAUCUCAGCGAAUUUACUCGGGGUAAAGAGGCGACUUGGGCCGUGUCCGAGAACCUGCGACCAUGGGUGGGACCAGGAUGCUGAAGCUGUGCUCUUGUGCCCCCCCCCCCGCCCCACCCUUCUCGAAUCUCUGGGUCAGCGGGGUGUAGAUGUUGACAUGCUUGAGCCCUGGGGCCUGACUACGGCUACUUAGAGGGGCCCUACUGUCACCCACCCAAGCGUAGUCAUAGACCACGGUCAUCGCCCUGCUCCGUUGGCGCUAAUCUUCUCUUCGGCUAUUUGUGAUGAUCUGUAAGCGCAGAAACCAGCCGCGUGGUGCGCACCCCGGAAGCGCUUGCCGAGACCCGGAAGCAGCGGGGCCUCGCCCGCCGCUCCUCUGGCUCCAGAGCCCUCCACGACCCGCCCACCUUGGAGGUACCCCAGUUCGGGAAGCAUCGCUCGCGCGAGAGCGGGUCCCAGGUUCGCGCCACGAUCCUGCCCCGUGGUAGAGAGUUUCCGGUAUAUGGGUCUGUCGCUUACGGCGGACCCAGGCCUCCCCGUUCCCCGAGUGGAUUUAGGUCCCCCGUUAAGGUCCCCGUUGUGUCGGCCGUGGGUCGAGGGAGGCACAGAGAAGGAGGAAUUUACAAUCAGCCCGUGAGUGACUGAUCAGCUCCCCAGAGAUCGGAGUGUAAAUUUACUAGGGAUCUUCGGUUGUGAUUCACAAUUCUGCAAGUAAUAAAAUGCCCACCCCUCCAA